GACGAAUGCUGGCGGCGUGCUUAACACAUGCAAGUCGAACGGAAAGGCCCUGCUUUUGUGGGGUGCUCGAGUGGCGAACGGGUGAGUAACACGUGAGUAACCUGCCCUUGACUUUGGGAUAAAUUCAGGAAACUGGGGCUAAUACCGGAUAGGAGCUCCUGCUGCAUGGUGGGGGUUGGAAAGUUUCGGCGGUUGGGGAUGGACUCGCGGCUUAUCAGCUUGUUGGUGGGGUAGUGGCUUACCAAGGCUUUGACGGGUAGCCGGCCUGAGAGGGUGACCGGCCACAUUGGGACUGAGAUACGGCCCAGACUCCUACGGGAGGCAGCAGUGGGGAAUAUUGCACAAUGGGCGGAAGCCUGAUGCAGCAACGCCGCGUGCGGGAUGACGGCCUUCGGGUUGUAAACCGCUUUCGCCUGUGACGAAGCGUGAGUGACGGUAAUGGGUAAAGAAGCACCGGCUAACUACGUG
rnacentral:rRNA from 1 species